UCUCCUGGAAACGGGUGGUAAUGCCGGAUGCUCCAAGUUGAAUCGCAUGGUCUUCUGGGAAAGCUUUCGCGGUAUGGGAUGGGGUCGCGUCCUAUCAGCUUGACGGCGGGGUAACGGCCCACCGUGGCUUCGACGGGUAGCCGGCCUGAGAGGGCGACCGGCCACAUUGGGACUGAGAUACGGCCCAGACUCCUACGGGAGGCAGCAGUGGGGAAUAUUGCACAAUGGGCGCAAGCCUGAUGCAGCGACGCCGCGUGAGGGAUGGAGGCCUUCGGGUUGUAAACCUCUUUUAUCGGGGAGCAAGCGAGAGUGAGUUUACCCGUUGAAUAAGCACCGGCUAACUACGUGCCAGCAGCCGCGGUAAUACGUAGGGUGCAAGCGUUAUCCGGAAUUAUUGGGCGUAAAGGGCUCGUAGGCGGUUCGUCGCGUCCGGUGUGAAAGUCCAUCGCUUAACGGUGGAUCCGCGCCGGGUACGGGCGGGCUUGAGUGCGGUAGGGGAGACUGGAAUUCCCGGUGUAACGGUGGAAUGUGUAGAUAUCGGGAAAGAACACCA
rnacentral:rRNA from 1 species